rnacentral:rRNA from 1 species
UAGGGAAUCUUCCACAAUGGACGCAAGUCUGAUGGAGCAACGCCGCGUGAGUGAAGAAGGUUUUCGGACCGUAAAGCUCUGUUGUUGGUGAAGAAGGAUAGAGGUAGUAACUGGCCUUUAUUUGACGGUAAUCAACCAGAAAGUCACGGCUAACUACGUGCCAGCAGCCGCGGUAAUACGCAGGUGGCAAGCGUUGUCCGGAUUUAUUGGGCGUAAAGCGAGCGCAGGCGGAAGAAUAAGUCUGAUGUGAAAGCCCUCGGCUUAACCGAGGAAUUGCAUCGGAAACUGUUUUCUUGAGUGCAGAAGAGGAGAGUAGAACUCCAUGUGUAGCGGUGGAAUGCGUAGAUAUAUGGAAGAAUACCAGUGGCGAAGGCGGCUCUCUGGUCUGCAACUGACGCUGAGGCUCGAAAGCAUGGGUAGCGAACAGGAUUAGAUACCCUGGUAGUCCAUGCCGUAAACGAUGAGUGCUAAGUGUUGGGAGGCUUCCGCCUCUCAGUGCUGCAGCUAACGCAUUAAGCACUCCGCCUGGGGGAGUACGACCGCAAGGUUGAAAC